CGCCCGAACAGGGGCUCGAACCCUGGACCCUCAGAUUAAAAGUCUGAUGCUCUACCGACUGAGCUAUCCGGGC
rnacentral:tRNA from 11 species